rnacentral:rRNA from 1 species
AAAUUGAAGAGUUUGAUCAUGGCUCAGAUUGAACGCUGGCGGCAGGCCUAACACAUGCAAGUCGAACGGUAACAGGAAGCAGCUUGCUGCUUUGCUGACGAGUGGCGGACGGGUGAGUAAUGUCUGGGAAACUGCCUGAUGGAGGGGGAUAACUACUGGAAACGGUGGCUAAUACCGCAUAACGUCGCAAGACCAAAGAGGGGGACCUUCGGGCCUCUUGCCAUCAGAUGUGCCCAGAUGGGAUUAGCUGGUUGGUGAGGUAACGGCUCACCAAGGCGA